rnacentral:rRNA from 4 species
ACGAACGCUGGCGGCGUGCUUAACACAUGCAAGUCGAGCGGAAAGGCCCUUCGGGGUACUCGAGCGGCGAACGGGUGAGUAACACGUGAGCAACCUGCCCCAAGCUUUGGGAUAACCCUCGGAAACGGGGGCUAAUACCGAAUAGGACUUCCGGCCGCAUGGCUGGGGGUGGAAAGUUUUUCGGCUUGGGAUGGGCUCGCGGCCUAUCAGCUUGUUGGUGGGGUGAUGGCCUACCAAGGCGACGACGGGUAGCCG